rnacentral:rRNA from 1 species
UACGGAGGGUGCAAGCGUUGUCCGGAUUUAUUGGGUUUAAAGGGUGCGUAGGUGGCGUGUUAAGUCAGUGGUGAAAGCCUGCAGCUCAACUGUAGAGGUGCCAUUGAUACUGACAUGCUUGAGUAUGGACGAGGUAGGCGGAAUUUGUGGUGUAGCGGUGAAAUGCAUAGAUACCACAAAGAACACCGAUAGCGAAGGCAGCUUACUGGACCAUAACUGACACUGAGGCACGAAAGCGUGGGGAGCGAACAGG